rnacentral:rRNA from 1 species
AUUUUGACUGUGCAAAGGUAGCAUAAUCAUUAGUCUUUUAAUUGGGGACUGGUAUGAAUGGUUUAACGAAGUAUUAACUGUCUCAUUUUAAUAAAUUGAAUUUAACUUUUGAGUCAAAAGGCUUAAAUGAAAUUGGAGGACGAGAAGACCCUAUAGAGCUUUAUAAUUUGAAUAUUAGGUUGGAUUUGGAUGUUUUGUUUAACUUAAAUAUUAAAUUUAUUUUAUUGGGGUGAUAUAAAGAUUUAAUAAACUCUUUGUAAUAGGUAAACACUAAUGAGUGAAUAAUUGAUCCAUUUUUAGUGAUUAAAAGAUUAAGUUACCUUAGGGAUAACAGCGUAAUGUUUUUUAAGAGUUCUUAUCGACAAAAAAGAUUGCGACCUCGAUGUUGGAUUAAGGAAAAAGUUGGG